rnacentral:rRNA from 1 species
AUACGGAGGGUGCGAGCGUUAAUCGGAAUUACUGGGCGUAAAGCGCGCGUAGGCGGCUUAUUAAGUCAGAUGUGAAAUCCCCGGGCUCAACCUGGGAACUGCAUCUGAUACUGGUAAGCUAGAGUUUUGGAGAGGGAAGUAGAAUUUCAGGUGUAGCGGUGAAAUGCAUAGAGAUCUGAAGGAAUACCAGUGGCGAAGGCGACUUCCUGGCCAAAAACUGACGCUGAGGUGCGAAAGCGUGGGUAGCAAACGGGAUUAGAAACCCCAGUAGUCC